GUGUUGUUUGGAAGAAGAGAAGGUUAGCACUCCCCUUGACAAGGAUGGAAGAGGCCCUCGGGCCUAACAACACACAUACAGUUAAGACUAGGGACACUUCAGAGUACAAAGAUAAGCACUAAGAUAAUAU